AUGCGUCGCCCCACGGGCCCGCGGAUCGAGCCAGCCACAAACAGCGGGACACCUGAGGCGUCAGGAUCGCUAUCUCCCUCGGAUCGGGAGUUGGGAUCGUCCGCGCCGAAUCCUACAGAGUCCUCUGCACCGGGAUCUUCUGCGCCUACAACAUUAGUUCUUCACCAGCCUCCUCGCCGGCAUACUAGAUCGCAGUCAUGUAUUGUCAAGGAUAAAGAAUACACUGAUGGUACGAUAAGGUAUGACAUAAUCAAACGUGCUUUUCUUAGUAGUGUCGGUGAACCAACUCACUUGCAUGAUGCUCUUGCUCAUAAGGAUUGGAAAGAGGCUAUGGAUAAUGAAUAUGAUGCACUCAUGAAAAAUAAAAUUUGGUAUUUAGUACCACCAAGGAAGGGUAACAAUGUUAUAGAUUGUAAAUGGGUAUACAAAAUAAAUAGGAAAUCUGAUGGAAGCAUAGACAAAUACAAGGCUUGA
rnacentral:rRNA from 1 species